AGCAGCCGCGGUAAUUCCAGCUCCAAUAGCGUAUAUUAAAGUUGUUGCAGUUAAAAAGCUCGUAGUUGAAUUUCGGGAUUAGCUUAUCGGUCGUACCUUCUUGGUACGCACUGGUAGUUGCUAAUCUCCACCUUCUAGCGAAUCGUUAUGUCUCUUAUUAGGCGUAAUGGGGAACUAGGACUGUUACUUUGAAAAAAUUAGAGUGUUUAAAGCAAGCUUUACGCUUGAAUACAUUAGCAUGGAAUAAUGAAAUAGGACGGCAUGAUUCUAUUUUGUUGGUUUCUAGGGUCACCGUA
rnacentral:rRNA from 1 species